rnacentral:tRNA from 1 species
GCCGGGGUGGCGAAAUUGGUAGACGCAGCGGAUUCAAAAUCCGCCGGUAGCGAUGCCGUGUCGGUUCGAGUCCGACCCUCGGCACCA